UUGGGGCACACCAGAGGAAGAGUUCAUUCCUCGUGUGAAAUAAAGCUGUUGAAACGUGUCCUCUGCAUAUUCUCUAUCCCAGAUGACAGCUGUUAUUACCUGGUGAAAAAUAACGCAGCAGUCAGCGUUCCUGAGCAGAGCCUAAUAUAGCUGCUGUUUGGCUGUCACUUCUGCAGGAGGAGGAGGAAGGAGUGUCAAGUCGAAGAGCAAGGAGGAGAUCAGCAAACGAGUUUUGUUUUGUACAGGAAAACAAGAAGAAAAGUGGCACCACUGGAAGUUGUGUGUUUGGCCUCAUAAGAUGCUCCUGUUCAGGGAUGUACCAAAGGAGAGGAGAGAAUAUAGAUUUGUA